rnacentral:rRNA from 1 species
GCGUUGUCCGGAAUAAUUGGGCGUAAAGGGCGCGUAGGCGGCUCGGUAAGUCUGGAGUGAAAGUCCUGCUUUUAAGGUGGGAAUUGCUUUGGAUACUGUCGGGCUUGAGUGCAGGAGAGGUUAGUGGAAUUCCCAGUGUAGCGGUGAGAUGCGUAGAGAUUGGGAGGAACACCAGUGGCGAAGGCGACUAACUGGACUGUAACUGACGCUGAGGCGCGAAAGUGUG